rnacentral:rRNA from 1 species
UACGAAGGGUGCAAGCGUUAAUCGGAAUUACUGGGCGUAAAGGGUGCGUAGGCGGUUCGUUAAGUCGGAUGUGAAAGCCCUGGGCUCAACCUGGGAAUGGCAUCCGAAACUGGCGGGCUGGAGUGCGGUAGAGGAUGGUGGAAUUCCCGGUGUAGCGGUGAAAUGCGUAGAGAUCGGGAGGAACACCAGUGGCGAAGGCGGCCAUCUGGACCAGCACUGACGCUGAGGCACGAAAGCGUGGGGAGCAAACAGG